GAUGAACGCUGGCGGCGUGCCUAAUACAUGCAAGUCGAACGCGCCGAGAAGGGAACUUGUUCCUUUCAACGCGAGUGGCGGACGGGUGAGUCACACGUGGGAAACCUACCCUUCAGCGGGGGAUAACCAUCGGAAACGAUGACUAAUACCGCAUAGUUGUUCCAGUCGCAUGACUGGAAUGGGAAAGACGGCUUCGGCUGUCACUGGAGGAUGGUCCCGCGGUGCAUUAGCUAGACGGUGGGGUAACGGCCUACCGUGGCUUUGAUGCAUAGCCGACCUGAGAGGGUGAUCGGCCACAUUGGGAAUGAGACACGGCCCAAACUCCUACGGGAGGCAGCAGUAGGGAAUCUUCGGCAAUGGACGCAAGUCUGACGGCGCAACGCCGCGUGUGUGAAGAAGGUCUUCGGAUCGUAAAGCACUGUUAUCAGAGAAGAAUAGCCUAGAGAGUAACUGUUAUAGGUUUGACGGUAACUGAUCAGAAAGCCACGGCUAACUACGUG
rnacentral:rRNA from 1 species